UUGUGAGCAGAGAUGCAGUUUUGACAAAUUGGUAGCGGAUUGAUGUUUUUUUUAUUUUUAAAUUUAAUGGUUCUAAAAUCGGAGGAUAUUUUCAUAUCUUGAUCUGAUGUUUACAGAACGUGAUGUAAUGCCGUGCAGUCAGUGACUGUCAGGACAUGUAUAGUACCAGAGGAGGGAUAUGGUCUCUGAGUUGGUCUCUUUAGGUGUCCUUUUAUGUGUGUUCCGUUUGUCCAUGUUAGACGGUCUUGUUGUUGCCUGUAGUGGGAGAUUUGAAAGGUUCGUUGUAAUAGGGAGUCCUCUAGCCUGUUGGCAGUGUAUUUAGCUGUAGAAGAUAUUCCACAAGUGUCCCCGGGUGUUUUAGACAAGGCCUUUCUUCAUCGUCAUCAUCAUCAUCAGAAAUGUUAACAGUAGAAAGCUUCCUAUUUCUAAUGGACUGGUUUCUAAAAUCAAACCAUUUUUUAAUUGGCUGAAUUAUUAAUGAUCCUGAAAUGAGGCCCUCUUCCCCUCCCUCUUGUUUCUAAAAUCAAACCAUUUUUUAAUUGGCUGAAUUAUUAAUGAUCUGAGGCCCUCUUCCCCUCUGUCGCCCGCUCAGCCAGUGGGUCAUUAUGGAUUAUUGGAACCGGCAAUUUACCGAUCAAGAAUCUCUGUCCCGUGUCCUCCUGCGUUGUUUCAGGGAAUUCCACAAACGGUCCUUCCCUCUUUUGUCCUGUGAGAACGAAACGGUCCUUCGUUCAUAUUUCAGUGUGUCGUGUACCAGCUGCUUUCUAAACGGUAGUGUCCAUGUUUUAGGCAGUGGACUAACAGUCAGUGGUCGUAUCUGACUGUAUCUUAACAGAUGGAAAUUGUCAUUUUGAAAGUGUCGAAAAAAGGGGUUUCUGAAAUACAAAACGUGAACUCGUAAAAGAACCACUGCUGCCCACGAGGACGUGGAUUAUAACAUAUGAAAUUGUUCUUCGGGGUUUAACGUGGGGCGUAUUUUCCUGUUCUCACUGCGCUUUACGUCUCGGACGCGCCGUGUCAUUCCUGAAAAGCAGUUUAACUGUCCGAGCGAACCUCAUUAACGUACUGUACUCCCUCCGUGGUGUCUGUCCAAUGAAAUGAGCAGUAGAUUGCCAGCGUUGUGUAGAACGCAGACAGACUUCAUACUAAGGAACGUUGGAAUCUCCCGAUUUUGAUUUAAUUUUCAUGCAAUCUGAAUAUCUGUUUAGUAGCCACUGAUGUCAUUGUUAAAAGGGGGGUUUUGUGGCGAGGGGUGUGUAUCGUCAGAGUAUCGUGUUUUAACGUGAUAUACGAGACGUUUUUUACGUGAUAUAAAAGAGACCGUUGUUGACGUGCUCUGACAACUCUCCUCGUCGUUGUGUCUUGAACUUUUAGCUUUUGGACGUGGAAAUGUUUUCGUUAGCAUUUUUUAAAAACCAAGAUUUGUAACAAAUGUAAAUAAAAUAAAAACAUUUUAAAAAGUAAAAUUGAUGUUAAAAAAAAGGUGUCAGAAUGUGGUCCCUGUUUUGCUGCCUCCUGCUCUGCUGAGCAGCGUCUCUGUACAGUCGUCUCUUACCAUCGUAACAUGGACUCUGUACAGUCGUCUCUUACCAUCGUAACAUGGACUCUGUACAGUCGUCUCUUACCAUCGUAACAUGGACUCUGUACAGUCGUCUCUUACCAUCGUAACAUGGACUCUGUACAGUCGUCUCUUACCAUCGUAACAUGGACUCUGUACAGUCGUCUCUUACCAUCGUAACAUGGACUCUGUACAGUCGUCUCUUACCAUCGUAACAUGGACUCUGUACAGUCGUCUCUUACCAUCGUAACAUGGACUCUGUACAGUCGUCUCUUACCAUCGUAACAUGGUGUCAGGACUCUGUACAGUCGUCUCUUACCAUCGUAACAUGGACUCUGUACAGUCGUCUCUUACCAUCGUAACAUGGUGUCAGGACUCUGUACAGUCGUCUCUUACCAUCGUAACAUGGUGUCAGGACUCUGUACAGUCGUCUCUCACCAUCGUAACAUGGUGUCAGGACUCUGUACAGUCGUCUCUCACCAUCGUAACAUGGACUCUGUACAGUCGUCUCUCACCAUCGUAACAUGGACUCUGUACAGUCGUCUCUCACCAUCGUAACAUGGACUCUGUACAGUCGUCUCUUACCAUCGUAACAUGGUGUCAGGACUCUGUACAGUCGUCUCUUACCAUCGUAACAUGGACUCUGUACAGUCGUCUCUUACCAUCGUAACAUGUUGUCAGGACUCUGUACAGUCGUCUCUUACCAUCGUAACAUGGACUCUGUACAGUCGUCUCUUACCAUCGUAACAUGGUGUCAGGACUCUGUACAGUCGUCUCUUACCAUCGUAACAUGGACUCUGUACAGUCGUCUCUUACCAUCGUAACAUGGUGUCAGGACUCUGUACAGUCGUCUCUUACCAUCGUAACAUGGACUCUGUACAGUCGUCUCUUACCAUCGUAACAUGGUGUCAGGGCUCUGUACAGUCGUCUCUUACCAUCGUAACAUGGACUCUGUACAGUCGUCUCUUACCAUCGUAACAUGGUGUCAGGGCUCUGUACAGUCGUCUCUUACCAUCGUAACAUGGACUCUGUACAGUCGUCUCUCACCAUCGUAACAUGGACUCUGUACAGUCGUCUCUUACCAUCGUAACAUGUUGUCAGGACUCUGUACAGUCGUCUCUUACCAUCGUAACAUGGUGUCAGAAGUGAAUCAAACUCAUCAAAUAAUAACAACCAAGUUCAUCCGAUAUAAGACCGGAAAAACAUUGUUAGACUCGACACGAGAGAAUAUCUGACAGAAAAUAAUACUAUUACGUGAGUUUGGUUGC